rnacentral:rRNA from 1 species
AACGAACGCUGGCGGCGCGCCUAAUACAUGCAAGUCGAGCGAGAAGACGUAGCAAUACGUUUGUAAAGCGGCGAACGGGUGAGGAAUACAUGGGUAACCUACCCUCGAGUGGGGAAUAACUAGCCGAAAGGUUAGCUAAUACCGCGUACGCUCCUUGGACUUCGGUUCAGGGAGGAAAGCGAUACCGUGGGUAUCGCGCUCUUGGAUGGGCUCAUGUCCUAUCAGCUUGUUGGNGAGGUAACGGCUCACCAAGGCUUCGACGGGUAGCUGGUCUGAGAGGACAAUCAGCCACACUGGCACUGCGACACGGGCCAGACUCCUACGGGAGGCAGCAGUAAGGAAUAUUGCGCAAUGGG